rnacentral:rRNA from 1 species
UACGUAGGGUGCGAGCGUUGUCCGGAAUUAUUGGGCGUAAAGAGCUCGUAGGCGGUUUGUCGCGUCGGCCGUGAAAUCUCCACGCUUAACGUGGAGCGUGCGGUCGAUACGGGCAGACUUGAGUUCGGUAGGGGAGACUGGAAUUCCUGGUGUAGCGGUGAAAUGCGCAGAUAUCAGGAGGAACACCGGUGGCGAAGGCGGGUCUCUGGGCAGUAACUGACGCUGAGGAGCGAAAGCAUGGGGAGCGAACAGG